rnacentral:rRNA from 1 species
AUUGAACGCUGGCGGCAUGCCUUACACAUGCAAGUCGAACGGCAGCAUGGAGAGCUUGCUCUCUGAUGGCGAGUGGCGAACGGGUGAGUAAUGCAUCGGAACGUACCGUGUAAUGGGGGAUAACGUAGCGAAAGUUACGCUAAUACCGCAUACGACCUGAGGGUGAAAGCAGGGGAUCGCAAGACCUUGCGUUAUACGAGCGGCCGAUGUCAGAUUAGCUAGUUGGUGAGGUAAAGGCUCACCAAGGCGACGAUCUGUAGCGGGACUGAGAGGAUGAUCCGCCACACUGGGACGGAGGCACGGCCCAGACUCCUACGGGAGGCAGCAGUGGGAAAUUUUGGACAAUGGGGGCAACCCUGAUCCAGCCAUGCCGCGUGAGUGAAGAAGGCCUUCGGGUUGUAAAGCUCUUUCGGCCGGGAAGAAAUCGCACAGGCUAAUACUCUGUGUGGAUGACGGUACCGGCAUAAGAAGCACCGGCUAACUACGUGCCAGCAGCCGCCGUAA